UACAGAGGGGGCAAGCGUUGUUCGGAAUUACUGGGCGUAAAGGGCGCGUAGGCGGCCCGCUAAGUCGAACGUGAAAUCCCCGGGCUCAACCCGGGAACUGCGUCCGAUACUGGUGGGCUUGAAUCCGGGAGAGGGAUGCGGAAUUCCAGGUGUAGCGGUGAAAUGCGUAGAUAUCUGGAGGAACACCGGUGGCGAAGGCGGCAUCCUGGACCGGCAUUGACGCUGAGGCGCGAAAGCCAGGG
rnacentral:rRNA from 1 species